rfam:Hordeum vulgare subsp. vulgare, WGS project CAJW01000000 data, contig: morex_contig_40638
CUGGCAUAAUGAGGAAAACAAUUGUUGUCUGACCUAUUUGAUGAUAUAAUCCUCCUACUCAUUCUGA